GAAAUCUGUGUAAGGGGUCCCAUUGUUUUCCAAGGCUAUCAUAAAGAUGAAGCACAGACGAGAGAAGUAAUUGAUGAAGAUGGAUGGCUUCAUACUGGAGAUAUAGGACUAUGGUUACCUGGGGGUCGUCUGAAGAUUAUCGAUAGAAAGAAGAACAUUUUUAAGCUGGCGCAGGGAGAGUACAUAGCUCCGGAGAAAAUUGAGAAUGUUUACAUUAAGUCCGAAUUUAUUGCCCAGUGCUUUGUGUAUGGGGACAGCCUGAACUCCUCUCUGGUAGCUAUUGUUUCAGUGGACCCAGAUAUUUUGAAAGCAUGGGCUGCUUCUGAAGGCAUUAAGUAUGAAAAUUUGGAGCAGCUAUGCAAUAAUCCAAGAGCGAGGGCUGCUGUUCUUGCAGACAUGGAUGUUGUUGGAAGAGAAGCUCAGCUCCGAGGUUUUGAAUUUGCAAAAGCUGUGACUCUAGUGUCAGAACCAUUUUCAAUGGAAAAUAGUCUUCUGACCCCAACAAUGAAGAUUAAGAGACCUCAGGCAAAGGCAUACUUUGAGAACGAAAUAUCGAAGAUGUACGCAGAGCUUGCUACAUCUGAUCUCUCCCCUAAAGGGAAGUUGUGAAGUUGACAAGGAAAGCACAGAAACAUAGAAGCAGGGCCAAAAAUUUCGCAGCCUCCUUCCCA
rnacentral:misc_RNA from 1 species